rnacentral:rRNA from 1 species
UACGAAGGGUGCAAGCGUUACUCGGAAUUACUGGGCGUAAAGCGUGCGCAGGCGGUCUCUUAAGACAGGUGUGAAAUCCCCGAGCUUAACUUGGGAACUGCGCUUGUAACUGAGAGGCUUGAGUGUGCCAGAGGGGGGUGGAAUUCCACGUGUAGCAGUGAAAUGCGUAGAUAUCUGGAGGAACACCGGUGGCGAAGGCGGCAUCCUGGACCAAUAUUGACGCUGAGGAGCGAAAGCCAGGGGAGCAAACGGG